rnacentral:rRNA from 1 species
AUUGAACGCUGGCGGCAUGCCUUACACAUGCAAGUCGAACGGCAGCACGGGAGCUUGCUCCUGGUGGCGAGUGGCGAACGGGUGAGUAAUACAUCGGAACGUACCCUGAAGUGGGGGAUAACGUAGCGAAAGUUACGCUAAUACCGCAUAUUCUGUGAGCAGGAAAGAGGGGGAUCGCAAGACCUCUUGCUUUAGGAGCGGCCGAUGUCGGAUUAGCUAGUUGGUGAGGUAAAGGCUCACCAAGGCGACGAUCCGUAGCGGGUCUGAGAGGAUGAUCCGCCACACUGGGACUGAGACACGGCCCAGACUCCUACGGGAGGCAGCAGUGGGGAAUAUUGGACAAUGGGCGCAAGCCAGAUCCAGCAAUACCGCGUGUGUGAAGAAGGCCCUAGGGUUGUAAAGCACUUUCAAUGGGGAGGAAAAAGAGGUAAAGCUAAUACCUGCUUAUUGACAUUACCCAUACAAGAAGCACCGGCUAACUCCGUGCCAGCAG